CCCUUAGAUGUUCUGGGCUGCACGCGCGCUACACUGAAGCGUUCAACGAGUAUUCACCUUGCCCGGGAGGGUUGGGUAAUCUUUUGAAAACGCUUCGUGAUGGGGAUAGAUUAUUGCAAUUAUUAAUCUUCAACGAGGAAUUCCUAGUAAGCGCGAGUCAUCAGCUCGUGCUGAUUACGUCCCUGCCCUUUGUACACACCGCCCGUCGCUCCUACCGAUUGAAUGGUUUAGUGAGGACUCCUGAUUGGCGCCGCCGCCCCGGCAACGGAGCAGCGGACUGCCGAAAAGUUGUUCAAACUUGAUCAUUUAGAGGAAGUAAAAGUCGUAACA
rnacentral:rRNA from 1 species